CCCUUAGAUGUUCUGGGCUGCACACGUGCUACACUGGCAGGUUCAGCGAGCUUCAUGCCCUGAUCUGAAAGGAAUGGGAAAUCUUUUCAAAACCUGCCGUGCUUGGGAUAGAUGUUUGCAAUUAUUCAUCUUCAACGAGGAUUGCCUUGUAAGCGCACGUCAUCAGCGUGCAUUGAAUACGACCCUGUAUUCUGUACACACCGCCCGUCGCUCCUACCGAUUGAAGUUUUCGGUGAGUUGACAGGAGGAUUUUUUUGAAACUGGUUCGCCAGUGGAUUUUAGGUCCAAAUGCCAACGAAUCGAUGGCUUUAGAGGAAGGAGAAGUCGUAACA
rnacentral:rRNA from 1 species